rnacentral:rRNA from 1 species
CCUACGGUGCGCUGCAGUGGGGAAUAUUGCACAAUGGGGGAAACCCUGAUGCAGCGACGCCGCGUGAGUGAAGAAGUAUUUCGGUAUGUAAAGCUCUAUCAGCAGGGAAGAAGAAAGACGGUACCUGACUAAGAAGCCCCGGCUAACUACGUGCCAGCAGCCGCGGUAAUACGUAGGGGGCAAGCGUUAUCCGGAUUUACUGGGUGUAAAGGGGGCGCAGACGGCGAUGCAAGCCAGGAGUGAAAGCCCGGGGCCCAACCCCGGGACUGCUCUUGGAACUGCGUGGCUAGAGUGCAGGAGGGGCAGGCGGAAUUCCUGGUGUAGCGGUGAAAUGCGUAGAUAUCAGGAGGAACACCGGUGGCGAAGGCGGCCUGCUGGACUGCAACUGACGUUGAGGCCCGAAAGCGUGGGGAGCAAACAGGAUUAGAUACCCCUGUAGUC